rnacentral:lncRNA from 1 species
CUGAUGAUGCUAGAUUUAGGAACUCUCAGGUUGUCAACGUGUUAAGUUGAUCCUCGAGUCUCUAGUGAUGAUGAUGAGGUGGAAUCAAGUAUUGGAUAUAAAUCUAGUGCUUCUUAGGUUUUAUUUCUGGUGUUUGGUUUUGUGAAAAGGAUUUUGGAAAGCCUACAGUCAUUCUAUGAAUAAGAUUUUUAAAAUGAAGUUCUUACUUACUGUCUCCUUUUUUUAUCAAUUUCUAUUGACUGCAAAUAAAAUAUUCUCACAAUUACUAACAAUAGCU